CCUGGUGAUGGCCUCAUGCCAGCAAGUCAAAUGAGAUUUCAAUUGCAGGACCAACUAGAAAAAAUUCUGCCUGAUCAAUAGACAUUCACAGAGUUAUUAGGAAUCAGCAAGAGGGAACUGGAAUACAAAGACCUGGCUGAGCUCAACAACCACACCUACUGCUCUGUCUCAGAGCAGUCCAAACUUCUCAGGGCUGUGGGUGGAUGUGGGUUUUGGGGCACAAAAACACACAUUGCUGUGGUCUGUAAGGUCAGACCCAUAGGUCAUGUCAGGCAUGUAACCCAGACACUCUCACAGCUUGUGGCCAGGGCAUCCAGCAAGUUUCUGAGGGCUGCCAUAAGCCUAAAACAUGUACAAUUAGGCUAUUGUUUUGUUUAGCUUCAUUGCCACAUUGUGCAUGCUCAAUGUGCAUACGACCAAGCUGUGAAAACAGCAACCAAACACAGGAAUACUCUGAGAUCUUAUCAGCAGCGGACUGGGAUUUACUUCGGUCAGGCUAUCGUCCUCAGUUUUAAACUGAAACGGGGAGCAUAGCGUGGUCAUUUUACUGAUUGGAUUAGAGAAAGCUUGAGCUGGCUGAUCUGUGUGAUGACAUUAUUGAGUUGCAUUUGCGGCUAUGACAGAAACAAAGGAUUUUUUAUUGGAUUAUUGCGGCCACAAGGAGAAGAGGGGAAAGAAGAGGUAACACAGAGACAGCAGAAGUCAAACCGUGUGGAGGAGAAUCCUGUAUGGAAUGGUUCUACAGAAUAACAUCAGCGACAUUUUGCAUCUGAUUUGCUGUGGUGUGUUUCGUCCUGCUAACUGGUCAGUAAAAAUUCAGAGCUGUGACUACUCCCAGUGCUGAGCUCCAUCAGCAGAGUUUUAUUCCCAGAACACACACUAAUUGUUUUAUCAGCUCUUCUGUGGCUCUGGUAAGAGAACUGAAGGACAGCUGACUGGGGGCUUGGAAUCGGAGCCCCACCAAAGACUUUCACCCUCUUCCCUUUGCCACGUGUCAUGAUUUCACCAAACAGUUCUUUUAAGAUGAAGAGUUCCCAUGUGACAGCUCAAACUAACUCAGCACGACAGAAGAUGCAGAAGGGAACGUAUCUUGUGUGGAUCAUCAGCGCCAUUGAAACCUUAAACGAAACCAACCAACAAAUAAACAAGCUGUAAUUUUAUCAGGUGGAAACAGAAAUCAGUGGUGCUAUUAAGUCUGCAGCAGCUGGGAAUCUGUUCUUUAAAUAAAUGCCACAAAACCACUGCUACAACUGGAGCGUUUCUCAGCUCAGAAGGCAGAGUGGGCCCCAUGCCCAAGGAAAGAUAUCAACACUGUACAUUUUUGGAAACAUCAUUUCCAUGCUGUGAAAUUGCCCAUGUGCUAGACUUGUAUGGAUUUCAAUGGGAAUGCACACCAUCAAACUGCAUGGCAACCAGCCCAUAAAGAGCUUUGAAGUGGAUACGAGAGGUAGUAUCAAAAUCACAGUGAAAAUUGGACCAGUGGCUAAUGGUACAGCCUAAAUUGGUCCCGUAAUUCAUUUACAAUACUGUCAAAAUAAGUCUACAGCUGAAGGGAUCUCAAGUGUCAUUGUCAGCUGCGCAGUUUUCUUCGAAGAAGGAAAUACAACGGGAAAAAAUGUGUCUUGUGGACAAUUCAGUGCUGAGGGGAAAAGACGCACAAAAAAUUGCUUCAUUAAAGUUUUGAAGCUGACACCUCAUGCAACAAAAGUCCAUACAAAACACAGAGCUCUCUCUUUUGAAAGGCACAGCAUCCAUAUGCAGCGAUGGCAUAUUCAUCAAAAUUCCCUCAACAGCUCUAUUUUCUCCAGCACUGAACACCAUCUGUGUAUAUCCUAUGCGUUUUUCUGACUUUCACAGACAAUGAGCACAUUAUAUAUAUAGACAUCCUCAGCUCUGCUGAAGAAUGGGCCCUCGCUGUUGCUCAGGGUGACCCCAAGUCAGAAGUACCCAGACGAACACGGCAGCUUCCCGCUGGAGGGCAGUGCCUCCAACAACAGGGCGCAGGCCAGCAGACAGCCAUACGGUGCCCAUGCCAGAUCCCACACUGUGCUAACUGGGAAGGCUCCCGUUGGCCCAGCGGGCGGUGGAUGAGGCCUUCAAGGACACUGCUGAUGGGAUCAGGUCCCUACCACAAAGGAUGCCAGUGAUGAGGCCAGCAAAGAGCAGCAGGACAAAGUCUGAUGAGAACAAUGUGGACUGAAUGUAGGUGGGACUUUCCCACAGGUGAGGUGUAAUUGACUGUGUGCUAGCAGAGGCUUAUUGCUUGGUCCUUGGAGAGACGUGUGGAAAAAAACACUGGGAUACUCCCGCAGGGAACACUUCUGCGUGGGUUUCAUACAGGUUUUAAUUCCUCGGGGAUGAAUUCCCAACUUAAAUAUUAUUUUAUUAAUUAAAUGCUUAUGAUUUUA